CGGAUAGUAGAGGAGUGGUUUAUCUCGCUAGUUUUGGGUACUAGAGUACGCAAGUUCGAAUCUUGCCUAUCCGACUA
rnacentral:tRNA from 1 species